UAAAACACUGAUUGGCCAGGCAGGAAGUAUAGGUGGGGCUAGGAGAUGAGGAGAAUUCUGGGAAAGACAGGCAGAGAAAGCUUGCCAAAAAGAGACAACAUGUAGCUGCCAAAGUAAUAAGAGGUCCAGACCCUUCUCCAGUAAGGCCAGAACGACGUGACUGAAACUGCCAAGUUCUGCUGCUUACUGGGGCUGGAGCAUGGUCCUCUCAUUCAAUUACAUCUUCAUCAGCUUUCUACUUUUGAUCUUCACUGCCAAAGUUUGGCUGUCUUCAACCUGCAUCUCUAGACAACUCUGGCCUCAAACUCAGAGAUCUGCCAGCCUCAGCCUUCUCAGUGCUGAAAUUAAAGAGAGAAUGCUCCCUACUUUCUCCUGGAAAAGAAUUGCAGCAAUGCACAAAGGAAAAUGGACACCUGCCCUAUCCCCAUGCACUCAUGGGGCUUAUGUUCCACACUUCAGGUUCUACUGAGACUUCCAAUAGAGGUAGCAACUAUAUAGCAAGAACUUCAGAGUGAAAAAUUAAUCUCCACAUCUCUUACCACACAUCUUCCUGAAG
ensembl:lncRNA